GACGAACGCUGGCGGCGUGCCUAAUACAUGCAAGUCGAACGCACAGUUUAUACCGUAGCUUGCUACACCAUAGACUGUGAGUUGCGAACGGGUGAGUAACGCGUAGGUAACCUGCCUGGUAGCGGGGGAUAACUAUUGGAAACGAUAGCUAAUACCGCAUAAUAUUGAUUAUUGCAUGAUAAUUAAUUGAAAGGUGCAAUUGCACCACUACCAGAUGGACCUGCGUUGUAUUAGCUAGUAGGUGAGGUAACGGCUCACCUAGGCGACGAUACAUAGCCGACCUGAGAGGGUGAUCGGCCACCCUGGGACUGGGACACGGCCCAGACUCCUACGGGAGGCAGCAGUAGGGAAUCUUCGGCAAUGGACGAAAGUCUGACCGAGCAACGCCGCGUGAGUGAAGAAGGGUUUCGGAUCGUAAAGAUCUGUUGUAAGAGAAGAACGGGUGUGAGAGUGGAAAGUUCACACUGUGACGGUAUCUUACCAGAAAGGGACGGCUAACUACGUG
rnacentral:rRNA from 1 species